rnacentral:rRNA from 1 species
AUGCGUAGAUAUAUGGAAGAACACCAGUGGCGAAGGCGGCCGCCUGGCCUGUUGCUGACGCUGAGGCACGAAAGCGUGGGGAGCAAAUAGGAUUAGAUACCCUAGUAGUCCACGCCGUAAACGAUGAGGACCAAGUGUUGGGGGUGAAACCUCAGUGCUGAAGUUAACGCAGUGAGUCCUCCGCCUGGGGAGUAUGCACGCAAGUGUGAAACUCAAAGGAAUUGACGGGGGCCCGCACAAGCGGUGGAGUAUGUGGUUUAAUUCGAAGCAACGCGAAGAACCUUACCAGGCCUUGACAUGGGAUGCGAAGACGCAGAGAUGCGUUGGAGGUCAACAUCCACACAGGUGGUGCAUGGUUGUCGUCAGCUCGUGUCGUGAGAUGUUGGGUCAAGUCCCGCAACGAGCGCAACCCUUGUGGCAUGUUGCUAACAGGAAAGCUGAGGACUCAUGCCAGACUGCCGGUGACAAACCGGAGGAAGGCGGGGAUGACGUCAAAUCAUCAUGCCCCUUAUGGCCUGGGCUACACACGUACUACAAUGGCGGCUACAAAGAGCGGCGAGACAGUAAUGUCGAGCGAAUCUCAUAAAAGCCGUCCCAGUUCGGAUUGGAGCCUGCAACCCGGCUCCAUGAAGUUGGAAUCGCUAGUAAUCGCGGAUCAGCAUGCCGCGGUGAAUACGUUCCCGGGCCUUGCACACACCGCCCGUCAAG